AAAGUCGUAACAAGGUUUCCGUAGGUGAACCUGCGGAAGGAUCAUUACAGUAGGUUUGGUUUGUGGGGGGGUUUUAAUGACCUUUCCACACAUUCGCGCUUGUCUUGUUUCACAGAGUAAAUUUACACUUAUAAUCACAUACAACUUUUAACAAUGGAUCUCUGGGCUCUU
rnacentral:misc_RNA from 1 species